AACCCGGCUUGAGACGGGCCUCAUUGUGACGCGGAUCUGGAUUUGGGGUCGUCUGCGCCAUCCCCGAUGUACCCGGUGGCCACCAUGCACCGCGGGCACAAGCCGCCGUGCGCCUGCACUCAAUUGGCUCCGUGGCUCCUCUUCCUGCCUAAGCUCGUCCGCCCCGCGACUCCCCUUUGUGCAGACUUUUUUCAACCCAAUCAUUGGUCCGGCGAGUCCCAACUGGCAGCCUAACGCCGACGAGCCCGUCUACUGUUGUGGUGUUGAAGCUGUAAGUGAAAAAUAAUGUCGCUGAAGAUGGUGGCUGUAACAAUAGCAGGAGGAUGAUGCAUGCCAUGCACUUUCAGAGGAAACAACAGUUCAGAAAUUGACAACGGAGGGUAGGAGAGAGGUAUGGGAGUAUUGACGACCAGCAAGCAAAGCAAGAGGAAAACCAAGGGGGCAGCGCCAUCCGUGCGCCACGACCACCUAGCGGGGUGGAGCUAGGUCUAGGAAAGCAUUGUCACGAGUGAUCGAGGAACUGGGCCGUAUCACCGGUCCUCACUAAAUUCUAAUACCAUGUCAAAGCAUCAUCAUUUUGAGGUUUUAUGCACACGCCCAAGCAAGAAGCUUCAGUAUCCACUUCCAAUUCUUGGUGCAUGGUCAUGGCCAUCAGAGGAGACGGGCGCGAGUGGAGCUUUCAUCUGGAUCGAGAUCUGGGAGGAGUGGAGGAUGGAGGCAUGGGAAGAAGGGAACUCACGUCCUUUUCCUGGAAGUGAUACGGGAGGCGGGAGGUGGUGUGUGGGUUGCUACGUGAGACAUCUACCCCACCUCCACUUAAAAUUAGGGGGGAGAGAUUAGAUGCUUUAU